rnacentral:rRNA from 1 species
UACGUAGGCAGCAAGCGUUGUUCGGAGUUACUGGGCGUAAAGGGUGCGUAGGCGGCUUUUAAGUUUGGUGUGAAUCUCCCGGCUCAACUGGGAGGGUGCGCCGAAUACUGAGAGGCUAGAGUGUGGGAGAGGAAAGUGGAAUUCCUGGUGUAGCGGUGAAAUGCGUAGAUAUCAGGAGGAACACCGGUGGUGUAAACGGCUUCUUGGACCAUAACUGACGUGAUGCACGAAAGCGUGGGUAGCAAACAGG